CCCGGGCCGACCGGGUCGGAGGUAACGGACGUAGUGCAACUUACCUAUCAGAGGGGGAUAACCCGGAGAAAGUCGGACUAAUACCGCAUGAAGCAGGGGCCCCGGCCGGGGGAGAUUUGCUAAAGAUUCAUCGCUGAUAGAUAGGCAUGCGUUCCAUUAGGCAGUUGGCGGGGUAACGGCCCACCAAGCCGACGAUGGAUAGGGGUUCUGAGAGGAAGGUCCCCCACAUUGGUACUGAGACACGGACCAA
rnacentral:rRNA from 1 species